CUUUGUAACUAAUACAAGUCUCUCUGUGUAUUCAUUUGGGCCUAACUCGGGCGGGCGGCUGGCGUAAAGCUCGCACGUGGCGGUGGGGCUCAGGCGGCUUUUGGCAAAAAGAUUUAUCGUAACAUGGCAUGUGAGUUGUUAUAAGGCCUGCAUUUCAUGGAGUGGAGGAAACACAAGCUUUCAUACCCACAUGCCAGGAGUAGGGCAAAGAAGAGGAAGCCUGUGACUUACAAAUUAUAAGAAGUCAUAGAGCUAAUGUUGGCAGACUCGUUACUGCAUAGGACAUCAGUGGACAGGAGAAAAUGAUGAGUGUGCUGGAGAGCAAGAACUUUCACUAACUAUAACACCAUUGUUUUGCCUUUAAACUUCCAGGCAACAAAUGCUACAUUGACAUCAAAUAGUUCUCAGUGCCAUACAAUAAAUAGUCAUGUAUAACCAAGCUCACCUUGAUGGCUAUUACUUAUUAAUAACAAAACCAUGGCUAUAGUUCCUCUAGCAUAGUUUUAUCUCUUUCAAUAGGAGUCUCUAUGACAUGCUACUAUCCUAUUAUAGACUUUGACCAUAAGCAUGAGUGUGUUGUACCCAGGAAAACUGUUGACAGAGAGAAACUCUGGUGACAUCUCUUUCCAACACUAAAUAACAGCAACCAAAUUCUAAUAGUUCAUGUUUUUCUGGUAUGUAAACCAAUUUGACAGAACUGAAUCUACUUGUACAUUCCUGUCAUAAUCAGUUUAAUAAAAUGAAGAAAAUUAGGGGAAAUGCUCAGAAAGAAGACAAUGUCUAAAAGCUCAGAGAAAGAUUUAAAAAUAUAUAUAUUUAGAAAGUGAACACAUGUUCAGUAGCAGACCAAAAAAAAAAUGGAAUAAAGUAAUUGAACCAAACAGUUUCUUUAGCACAUUUGGCCCUUUUCAGUUCAUGGAUACUCUGUAGCCCUACCCCACUGCUUUCAUAAAUAAGAAAAAAAAAACAGAGUAAGAAUCAAUGAGUUCUUUAUCUCCUAGGUGUGCUUGUAUCUCUCUGGUAAAUUGAUUUCACUUUCCUAUGUGACUGUCUCUCAGUUACUAUGGAUGAUUGAUAGCUAACUCUGUGAAUGAAGGACUUUUUUGUCUCUGUGUUGUGGUGGCAUCCAAGACAGGAAUACAAAGUUAAUUUUACAUAAGUUUCAACAUAUAGAAUCUAUAACAAUGUAAGCUGUCUAUAGAUAAUAGUUGCUAAAAUAGUUCACAGGAAGAUAUGGUGAUCUACAUAUAUGCUAUCCCAGCAGUCUGGCUUCAGAGCACCAGGACUGAACUCCUUUUGGUUCUCCUAUCCUGCAACAUCAAGUGAUUUCUUACAUGCCUAAUGCACCCUUUGGGGUUUCCCUGAAUAAGCUUUCUUUAUAGAGAACACUCGGCAGAAAUCAUAAGAUGCCAAGAACAGAUCCCUAUGAUAAACUACCAAGCUUCACUCAAAAUAAACUUCUUCCAGGUCUUUCUUAUCUCUCUCUCCAAUGCAUCUUCUGGAGAUUUUACCAACACAUUUGUGUUCCUGCAUAUGCUCCCUUAUCCUUAGUGACUGCUGAAAGAGAGGGGUGUGUUGCUCAAAAUAUUUCCCCCAUUUGACUCUUAAAUUGCAGGUAACCUUGAUGAAUUCCUAAUUUUAUCCUGCCUGUGUAAGAUCCACCUUCAUGAAAACCUCUGAACUAAAUGUUGCCUCAAAUAUAUAAUCUAAACUGAUCAGGGAGUUAUGGCAUGGAGACUCAGAAUACGUGGAGAAGUAGACUUCUCUGGAUCUAUGCUCCUAACUGCUGAGAGAAUAUAAAAAUAGACAAUGGCCAGUCUAUGUGACAGCAGGAGUCGACCACAGAAACUCAGCAGCAGGCCCAAGAGGUCAGAACUAAGUAAUUACCAGCUUUUCUGAUGUUUGCCUCCUCAUUCGAAUCAGGACCACUCAGUGAAAGUCAGAUAUGCCUCUGCCAAAGAUGCAACCAACUUUCACUUAAAUCUUAAUAUAAUAAGUUUAUUUUACUAAAACAAAAUAGCGACUUUAAAAAAAAUGAAAUAAUGUACCCUUUGAAGUCAAAGUCGGAAUCUGUGGUUCCUAAGGAGUAGCAAGGAAUACCUCCCAUUGUAUAAUGUCAGAACUUCAUCUGGAUUACAAUAAAGGUCUGUUUCAUGAAAGA